CGGUCACGUGUGCCUGCACGUGUAAUGAUAAACUAUCAUAAUACAAUACAUGCUAAACUGCGGAAAAGCCUAUUAAUUAACGGCGUUUGCUUGAUUUUGGCCCGGCAAAUUGACAUUGCCUCACUUAUCACCAACGGUAUAACAUAUGGCGGCUUAACAUCCAUGAGAAUAACAAACAAAAACUCGCUAAACUCAUUAUCGCACCAAUUCGGGCGUAUCGCACGACGCAUAAUCAAACGAUGUUAUGGAAAAAUAAAAAUUUCAGAUUUCCAUACAUGGUUGACACGGAAAAUCAUAAUGCAAAUAUUCAUUUAGUCUUCUGAUAAAUUAUCUAAUUUGACAUGAGAGUCGAAAAAUCUAUAAAAGCUCAUCAAUUCGCAUCAUGCUCUCAUUUCAUUGCAUAUAUUCGAAAUACAAGAAGCAAAAGAUUCAACAAUGAAAAACGAAAACAAGAAAGUGUUUACGAAAAAGAAUACAUAUUCAAAAUUACGUCGUUCGCGCGCCAAUGCAAGAGAAAGAAAUCGUAUGCACGACUUAAAUGCCGCAAUGGAUAUUUUAAGAAAGCAUAUUCCGGUACAGAACGUCCAAACAGACUUGCACUCAGCACCGCAGAAACUUUCAAAAAUUGAAACAAUACGCCUCGCUUGCAAUUACAUAUCGGCCAUGUCACAAACACUACAAGAAGGAAAAUCCAUGGACACCGAUCGUUACCUGCAAACUCUGAGCAAAGAUCUGAGUCAAGCCACUGCUAAUCUGUUGCUUAACUCUUUGGCAAACAAUUCAUCCUGCGCUGUGUCGGAUUUGUACAAUAGUUACUGGCUGCAUCAUGACUACGAACGCUUUGCCCAAUGGAAAAGUUAUCAGGAAUCAUACUACCAACAGUUUCAUUUCAGUAAUUUUAACAAUAACUAUAACAUUAACUGUUAUAACAAUAAUCCAGAAUUCAACUAUAAUUGUGUAUAAAUUGAAAAAUAAAAUUAUUUACAAUA